rnacentral:rRNA from 1 species
UACGGAGAGUGCAAGCAUUAAUCGGAAUUAUUGGGCGUAAAGGGCGCGUAGGCUGAAAAAUAAGUCAGAUGUGAAAUUCCGAAGCUCAACUUCGGAGCUGCAUUUGAAACUGUAUUUCUAGAGGAUUGACGGAGAAAACGGAAUUCCACGUGUAGCGGUGAAAUGCGUAGAUAUGUGGAAGAACACCAGUGGCGAAAGCGGUUUUCUAGUUUAUACCUGACGCUGAGGCGCGAGAGCAAGGGGAGCAAACAGG